rnacentral:misc_RNA from 1 species
AACGCACCUUGCGCUCCUUGGUAUUCCGAGGAGCAUGCCUGUUUGAGUGUCAUGGAAUUCUCAACUCUAUUUGCUUUUGUGAAUAGAGCUUGGACUUGGAGGUUUAUUGCCGGUACCUGUGAUCGGCUCCUCUUGAAUGCAUUAGCUCGAACCUUUUGUGGAUCAGCUUAUCGGUGUGAUAAAAUGUCUACGCCGUUACUGUGAAGCAUAUUAUUCGGCUUCCAAUCGUCCUUCGCGGGACAAUAACUUUGACCUUUGACCUCAAAUCAGGUAGGAUUACCCGCGGAACUUAA